rnacentral:rRNA from 1 species
UACGGGGGGGGCAAGCGUUGUUCGGAAUUACUGGGCGUAAAGGGCUCGUAGGCGGCCAACUAAGUCAUACGUGAAAUCCCUCGGCUUAACCGGGGAACUGCGUCUGAUACUGGAUGGCUUGAGUUCGGGAGAGGGAUGCGGAAUUCCAGGUGUAGCGGUGAAAUGCGUAGAUAUCUGGAGGAACACCGGUGGCGAAGGCGGGUCUCUGGGCCGUAACUGACGCUGAGGAGCGAAAGCGUGGGGAGCGAACAGG